CAUUGUACUCUGUGGGUUGUUGAGAUGUUGUGUGACCGAUUCUUCUUUUCCCUUGCUCGCCAGAGACGUUCGAUUAUUGAGGUAAUCUGGUGGGGGAGUCUUCUUCCGGCAGCAACCAUCUAUGGUUGAGGAUCAGCAGAAAGUGAACUGUUGAUUGCCUCUAAACCUUACGUGAGAAAGAUUCCAGCAGGGAAGUUUAUUUCUGUGGUGUUCUUUGGUCCCAUCAACUACUCUUUCAUGGCAGUAACGAUUCUGGAUUGGGGAUCAACAGAAGGGGCUGAGCUUGAGUUAAGAUUGGGAGGCCAGGGUAUAGGGUCUCAAAGCAAUUUGAUCCAGAGACAAAACAACGGUCUCUUCUGUUUCAGCCAACCCUUUGUUUCAAAGUAAUUUGAUGUUAUUGAUCCUUCAAGGACGAACAACAAUCUUUGACAAAGUUUCAGAACAAGUAAGCGAUUGGUGGUUUGGAUGUCAAUGAGUGGAACGGUAGAAGGGUCGUCUC